AGUGAACGCUGGCGGUAGGCCUAACACAUGCAAGUCGAACGGCAGCACAGUAAGAGCUUGCUCUUACGGGUGGCGAGUGGCGUACGGGUGAGGAAUACAUCGGAAUCUACUUUUUCGUGGGGGAUAACGUAGGGAAACUUACGCUAAUACCGCAUACGACCUACGGGUGAAAGCAGGGGAUCUUCGGACCUUGCGCGAUUGAAUGAGCCGAUGUCGGAUUAGCUAGUUGGCGGGGUAAAGGCCCACCAAGGCGACGAUCCGUAGCUGGUCUGAGAGGAUGAUCAGCCACACUGGAACUGAGACACGGUCCAGACUCCUACGGGAGGCAGCAGUGGGGAAUAUUGGACAAUGGGCGCAAGCCUGAUCCAGCCAGACCGCGUGGGUGAAGAAGGCCUUCGGGUUGUAAAGCCCUUUUGUUGGGAAAGAAAAGCAGCAGGUUAAUACCCCGCUGUUCUGACGGUACCCAAAGAAUAAGCACAGGCUAACUUCGUG
rnacentral:rRNA from 1 species